CGGGUGAGUAACGCGUGGAUAACCUGCCUCACACUGGGGGAUAACAGUUAGAAAUGACUGCUAAUACCGCAUAAGCGCACAGUACCGCAUGGUACAGUGUGAAAAACUCCGGUAGGUGUGAGAUGGAUCCGCGUCUGAUUAGCCAGUUGGCGGGGUAACGGCCCACCAAAGCGACGAUCAGUAGCCGACCUGAGAGGGUGACCGGCCACAUUGGGACUGAGACACGGCCCAA
rnacentral:rRNA from 1 species